GGAAAGAGAGUGUUAAUGGUAACCCCAUCUCCCAUGAAAAAUGGAAUUAAUAUAAUUCCAAAAAAUCCCAAACAUUUUCUUACAUACAUACACAUACAUAUAUAUAUAUAUAUACACACACACACACACAUAUAUAUAUAAAUUUUAAUAUGAUAUUUGAUAUAUUGGUUUGUAGUGUUAAUUCUUUUCUGUUCUAUCAUCAUGAGAUUGUCAUUCAUUUACACCAAUAUAAACAAUUAAAACAUUAAAAGUGUGUAGAAAAGAGAUAUGGUGCCAAAAGAAUACAGUGAAGGCAAAUAUUUUUUUUAAAUAAAAUUUUUAUCAUUUUAGCCUUAAGUAGUGACAAUAAAAGAGCUUUAAAAAAUGUAUAUAUUUAAAACAACAUUUUAAUAUUUAAAACAUUUAAAGGGAUAUUUGUGUGUGUGUAUGUGUGUGUAUUAGGGUUUGCACAGACUUGUCGAGUAGUUGAGGGAUCGACUACUUCAACCACUAGUCAGCGCUGUCAGAAACAAUCGAUUACUCGAUCAUGCAUUAACCAUAAUGCAUAUAAAGAGUUUACAAUUACGAUGUGAAUUUUAGGAUUACAAUAUUGCGUGGAGCUGUUACUUCUAUGAUCUUAUCUAUUUUGCAUAUAAAAUUUUAAUAUGUAAAUAGGGGUGUGUCUGAAGCCGAAUACCUUAUUCCGAAUGGCACGGAUAAUGGCUUCAAAAAUGAAUAACAUACAAGGAAUAAUUCUGCCUGAAUAGUCGUGCAACCCCUAUAUUAGUCAUGUGAAAAAGUUAGGAAACCUUAUUGAAUUCCAUGGUUUUCUAUAUCAGGAGAUAAUAAAAAAAUUAUCUGGUCCUGCCAAAGUUAGGACAUCCUAUGAUUCAGCUGCCUGCAGAUCCACUUUUAGCAGCAAUAAUUUGAAGCAAGUCAGUUUCUGUAUGACUUGAGCAGUCACUCGUCGUUCUGGAAGAAUUUUGGCUCAGUCUUCUUUACAACGCUGCUCCAGUUUAUUGAGGUUUGUGGGUAUUUGUUUAUAGACGGCUCUCACCACAUGAUUUCAGUCAGGAUGUGGACUGGGCUAUUGCAGAACCUGGAUUAUUUUCUUUUCAGCCGUUCUGUUGUAGAUUUGCUGGGGUGUUUGGGAUCAUUGUCCUGUUGCAUCACCAAAUCUUAGCCACUCUUUAGCUGUUGGACGGAUGUCCUCACAUUUGACUCUAGAAUACUUUGGUAUACAGAGGAAGUAAAUGGUCGACUCGAUGACUGUGAGGUGCCCAGGUCCUGUGUCUACAAAACAAGUUUUCACCAAACGCGCUGCUGUGCAUUAUGGCCAUUAUCAUCUGUUCAGAGGUCAUUGUUCUAGAAGUCUUAUGGUUUGUUCAGAUGAAACUUUGAAAACCUAAACCUUGCUUUUUUUUUUUUUUUUUUUUUUU